rnacentral:piRNA from 1 species
UCCACAAUUCUGCCCAACAACUGCCCACAC